rnacentral:rRNA from 1 species
CCCUUAGAUGUUCGGGGCCGCACGCGCGCUACACUGAAGGAAUCAGCACGUCUUUCUCCUUGUCCGAAAGGACUGGGUAACCCGCUGAACCUCCUUCGUGCUAGGGAUUGGGGCUUGUAAUUCUUCCCCAUGAACGAGGAAUUCCCAGUAAGCGCGAGUCAUAAGCUCGCGUUGAUUACGUCCCUGCCCUUUGUACACACCGCCCGUCGCUACUACCGAUUGGAUGGCUUAGUGAGAUCCUCGGAUUGGUCCCGGCGCGGCCUCUGGUCGUGCCGGAGUGCCGAAAAGAAUGUCGAACUUGAUCAUCUAGAGGAAGUAAAAGUCGUAACA